rnacentral:lncRNA from 1 species
UCCUAUAUGAGUUUUUUUUUGUUAUAUAGUAAUAGAUUUCUCUUCUCUGGUUUUCAUUUCGUUUCCGGUGCAUCUCUACAAAUAUUUUUCUACUUACUUCUUCUUUUUCUUCAAUCUCCACGGUUUUCAUUCACUGAAGGUAUUGAUCUUCGUUCAUGGACUUGUUAUCAAUUUUUUAUUAUCAUUGUGUAUGGAUUAAAGAAAAUGACAAACUUAGUUUUCUCUUAACUUUCCUUAAAGUUUUUU